UACAGAGGGUGCAAGCGUUGUUCGGAAUUAUUGGGCGUAAAGGGUGCGUAGGCGGUGCGGUAAGUCUGUAGUGAAAUCUCUGGGCUCAACUCAGAGUCUGCUAUAGAAACUGCCGUGCUUGAGUGUGGGAGAGGUGAGUGGAAUUCCCGGUGUAACGGUGAAAUGCGUAGAUAUCGGGAGGAACACCUGUGGCGAAAGCGGCUCACUGGACCACAACUGACGCUGAUGCACGAAAGCUAGGGGAGCAAACAGG
rnacentral:rRNA from 1 species